rnacentral:tRNA from 1 species
CAAAGUGUAGCUUAAAUUAAAGCAUCCAGCCUACACCCGGAUAAUUUCAAUCCUUUUGAACACUUUGA